rnacentral:rRNA from 1 species
UACGUAGGGUGCAAGCGUUGUCCGGAAUUACUGGGCGUAAAGAGCUCGUAGGUGGUUUGUCGCGUUGUUCGUGAAAACUCACAACUCAAUUGUGGGCGUGCGGGCGAUACGGGCAGACUGGAGUACUGCAGGGGAGACUGGAAUUCCUGGUGUAGCGGUGGAAUGCGCAGAUAUCAGGAGGAACACCGGUGGCGAAGGCGGGUCUCUGGGCAGUAACUGACGCUGAGGAGCGAAAGCGUGGGGAGCGAACAGG